rnacentral:rRNA from 1 species
UACGGAGGGUGCAAGCGUUAAUCGGAAUUACUGGGCGUAAAGCGUGCGUAGGUGGUUCGUUAAGUCCGUUGUGAAAGCCCCGAGCUCAACUUGGGAAUUGCAGUGGAUACUGGCGAGCUGGAGUGCGGUAGAGGAAGGUGGAAUUCCCGGUGUAGCGGUGAAAUGCGUAGAGAUCAGGAGGAACACCGGUGGCGAAGGCGGGUCUCUGGGCCGAUACUGACGCUGAGGAGCGAAAGCGUGGGGAGCGAACAGG